rnacentral:rRNA from 1 species
GACGUAGGGGGCCAGCGUUGUUCGGAAUCACUGGGCGUAAAGGGCGCGUAGGCGGCCUUGCAAGUCGGUUGGUGAAAGCCCGGGGCUCAACCCCGGAGGUGCGGCCGAGACUGCAGGGCUGGAGGCCGGAAGAGGAGGGUGGAAUACCCAGUGUAGAGGUGAAAUUCGUAGAUAUUGGGUGGAACACCGGUGGCGAAAGCGGCUCUCUGGUCCGGACCUGACGCUGAGGCGCGAAAGCGUGGGGAGCAAACAGG